rnacentral:rRNA from 1 species
GUGACAGAAGGGGGUGGGGCUCGACCCCACCCCCGGGGCCGAUCCCCGGCCUGCGGGCGCCUCGGGGCGCCCGGAUGGCGGUCCGGGGGCCGGUGAGCUAUUUUCCCGGCCCCCGCCGUCGCCGGGUCUGAGUUCCCCGUGUGCGGCCGCGGGCCCUGGAGCCCGCCCACCAGGCGGGGGGGCGCAAGCCCGGGACUUGCCACCAGUGCACCUCCCGGUCCCGGCGGCCUUUACGGGCCGUCGGGGCCCGGGCUGGUAGCCGGCAAGUACCUUGAGCAGACAUGUUGGGACCCGAAAGAUGGUGAACUAUGCUUGGCCAGGACGAAGCCAGAGGAAACUCUGGUGGAGGUCCGCCGCGAUUCUGACGUGCAAAUCGAUCGUCGGAGCUGAGUAUAGGGGCGAAAGACUAAUCGAACCAUCUAGUAGCUGGUUCCCUCCGAAGUUUCCCUCAGGAUAGCUGGUGCACGAGGGUAAUUUCAUCCGGUAAAGCGAAUGAUUAGAGGUCUUGGGGACGAAACGUCCUCAACCUAUUCUCAAACUUUAAAUGGGUGAGAUGCCGAGCUUGCUCUGACGAAUGAAGCUCUGGCGACUAAUACGUGCUCCUAGUGGGCCAUUUUUGGUAAGCAGAACUGGCGCUGUGG